GCCUUCUUGGUGUAGUGGUCAGCACGCUCGGCGCGUAUUCGAGAGGUCCGAGGUUCGAGUCCCGGCGAGGGCA
rnacentral:tRNA from 1 species